UACGGAGGGUGCAAGCGUUAAUCGGAAUUACUGGGCGUAAAGCGUGCGCAGGCGGUUUGUUAAGUCUGCUGUGAAAUCCCCGAGCUCAACUUGGGAAUUGCAGUGGAUACUGGCAGGCUGGAGUAUGGUAGAGGAAGGUGGAAUUCCCGGUGUAGCAGUGAAAUGCGCAGAUAUCGGGAGGAACACCAGUGGCAAAGGCGGCACUCUGGGCCAGUACUGACACUGAGGAGCGAAAGCGUGGGGAGCGAACAGG
rnacentral:rRNA from 1 species